rfam:Dipodomys ordii contig_46202, whole genome shotgun sequence.
GGGAAGGUAGCUCAGUGGUAGAGUGCUUGCCUUGCAAGCAUGAGGCCCUGGGUUCAAUUCCUCAGCACCA